rnacentral:rRNA from 1 species
AUACGUAUGUCGCAAGCGUUAUCCGGAAUUAUUGGGCGUAAAGCGAGUCUAGGCGGCUUGUUAAGUCAGAUGUGAAAAUGCGGGGCUCAACUCCGUAUUGCGUUUGAAACUGGCAGGCUAGAGUACUGGAGAGGUGGGCGGAACUACAAGUGUAGAGGUGAAAUUCGUAGAUAUUUGUAGGAAUGCCGAUAGUGAAGACAGCUCACUGGACAGAUUCUGACGCUAAAGCUCGAAAGCGUGGGGAGCGAACAGGAUUAGAAACCCCAGUAGUCC